UACGUAGGGUGCGAGCGUUAAUCGGAAUUACUGGGCGUAAAGCGUGCGCAGGCGGUUCGCUAAGACAGAUGUGAAAUCCCCGGGCUUAACCUGGGAACUGCAUUUGUGACUGGCGGGCUAGAGUAUGGCAGAGGGGGGUAGAAUUCCACGUGUAGCAGUGAAAUGCGUAGAGAUGUGGAGGAAUACCGAUGGCGAAGGCAGCCCCCUGGGCCAAUACUGACGCUCAUGCACGAAGGCGUGGGGAGCAAACAGG
rnacentral:rRNA from 1 species